AGUGAACGCUGGCGGUAGGCCUAACACAUGCAAGUCGAACGGCAGCACAGUAAGAGCUUGCUCUUACGGGUGGCGAGUGGCGGACGGGUGAGGAAUACAUCGGAAUCUACUUUUUCGUGGGGGAUAACGUAGGGAAACUUACGCUAAUACCGCAUACGACCUACGGGUGAAAGCAGGGGACCUUCGGACCUUGCGCGAUUGAAUGAGCCGAUGUCGGAUUAGCUAGUUGGCGGGGUAAAGGCCCACCAAGGCGACGAUCCGUAGCUGGUCUGAGAGGAUGAUCAGCCACACUGGAACUGAGACACGGUCCAGACUCCUACGGGAGGCAGCAGUGGGGAAUAUUGGACAAUGGGCGCAAGCCUGAUCCAGCCAUACCGCGUGGGUGAAGAAGGACUUCGGGUUGUAAAGCCCUUUUGUUGGGAAAGAAAAGCAGCAGGUUAAUACCCCGCUGUUCUGACGGUACCCAAAGAAUAAGCACCGGCUAACUUCGUG
rnacentral:rRNA from 1 species